ACGUAUGGUGCAAGCGUUAUCCGGAUUUACUGGGUGUAAAGGGAGCGUAGGCGGUACGGCAAGUCUGAUGUGAAAGCCCGGGGCUCAACCCCGGUACUGCAUUGGAAACUGUCGGACUAGAGUGUCGGAGGGGUAAGUGGAAUUCCUAGUGUAGCGGUGAAAUGCGUAGAUAUUAGGAGGAACACCAGUGGCGAAGGCGGCUUACUGGACGAUUACUGACGCUGAGGCUCGAAAGCGUGGGGAGCAAACAG
rnacentral:rRNA from 1 species